UACGUAGGGGGCAAGCGUUGUCCGGAAUUAUUGGGCGUAAAGCGCGUGUAGGCGGCUGGGUAGGUCCGCUGUGAAAACUUGAGGCUCAACCUCAAGAGGUCGGUGGAAACCCUCCAGCUAGAGUCCGGAAGAGGAGAAUGGAAUUCCUGGUGUAGCGGUGAAAUGCGCAGAUAUCAGGAAGAACACCCGUGGCGAAGGCGGUUCUCUGGGACGGUACUGACGCUGAGACGCGAAAGCGUGGGGAGCGAACAGG
rnacentral:rRNA from 1 species